CUGCCACUCAUCCUGUGUUCACCCAACCCCCAUGUGCAAAGAGGCACAGGAAAGGGAGGGGUGGUCAAAAGAAGGCACUCAUCUUCCCUGUAGCAGAACCUUAAAGGCUAGCUUGUCUUCUUCCCACCCAGUCUGAUCAUUCACCCUUCCCAUGCUUGAGAAAUAGCACUGAGUUAAAGGCUAUCUGGACACUCUUCCGACAUAAACCUGAGAAGCAAUGGACCUGGAGUGUAACUCAGGGAGGUUCUGACAUCCAGGAAUCUGAUUGUUGAGACUUGCAUUUCAGCUCAUUAAAGAAAGAACUAAACAGUACUGCUGGAGGCCUCGGGAAUCGUUUUUCCUGGAAAUAGUGCAAAGGACGUUGGGAAUGCCUCGGCGUGCCAAGAGUUUCUUGGACUGCUGUCAGAAACAAUACCUCUCCAUGGUUUGCGUUCCCCCUGUGAUGACUGAGCUCAGCUUUUUUGGCCUGGGAGCCACUUAUAUUUCAGAAAUGUUAUUGUUACCAGCACGUUACGACAUACAGGCUGGGGAAAGAAGGGUUAUGAACACAGGAAACCAGGUUGCUUGGGGCCAGCUGGAAGGCACAAAGCAGUGUUAGGGCUGCUUUUUUGAUGAGGUUAGAGGGCUAUAUCUCCAGAAACUACACUGUGUAUCGAGAGGUUGAAUUAAAAAAAAAAAGUUUUGUUUCAAUAUUUAAAUGCACUGAAGGGUUUGGCUUUGGUGUAUAUCUAAGAUAUUUGCUGUAAAAAUUAAUC